rnacentral:rRNA from 1 species
ACCAACAGGGAUUGCCCUAGUAACGGCGAGUGAAGCGGCAACAGCUCAAAUUUGAAAUCUGGCGUCUUUGGCGUCCGAGUUGUAAUUUGCAGAGGGCGCUUUGGCAUUGGCAGCGGUCCAAGUUCCUUGGAACAGGACGUCACAGAGGGUGAGAAUCCCGUACGUGGUCGCUAGCCUUUACCGUGUAAAGCCCCUUCGACGAGUCGAGUUGUUUGGGAAUGCAGCUCUAAAUGGGAGGUAAAUUUCUUCUAAAGCUAAAUACUGGCCAGAGACCGAUAGCGCACAAGUAGAGUGAUCGAAAGAUGAAAAGCACUUUGGAAAGAGAGUUAAAAAGCACGUGAAAUUGUUGAAAGGGAAGCGCUUGCAGCCAGACUUGCCUGUAGUUGCUCAUCCGGGUUUUUACCCGGUGCACUCUUCUACGGGCAGGCCAGCAUCAGUUUGGGCGGUUGGAUAAAGGUCUCUGUCACGUACCUCCUCUCGGGGAGAUCUUAUAGGGGAGACGACAUGCAACCAGCCUGGACUGAGGUCCGCGCAUCUGCUAGGAUGCUGGCGUAAUGGCUGUAAGCGGCCCGUCUUGAAACACGGACCAAGGAGUCUAACAUCUAUGCGAGUGUUUGGGUGUCAAGCCCGAGCGCGUAAUGAAAGUGAACGGAGGUGGGAACCUUUCGGGGUGCACCAUCGACCGAUCCUGAUGUCUUCGGAUGGAUUUGAGUAAGAGCAUAGCUGUUGGGACCCGAAAGAUGGUGAACUAUGCUUGAAUAGGGUGAAGCCAGAGGAAACUCUGGUGGAGGCUCGCAGCGGUUCUGACGUGCAAAUCGAUCGUCAAAUUUGGGCAUAGGGGCGAA